GAUGAACGCUGGCGGCGUGCUUAACACAUGCCAGUCGAACGGAAAGGCUCCUGCUUGCAGGGGUACUCGAGUGGCGAACGGGUGAGUAACACGUGGGUGAUCUGCCCUGCACUUCGGGAUAAGCCUGGGAAACUGGGUCUAAUACCGGAUAGGACGAUGGUUUGGAUACCAUUGUGGAAAGUUUUUUCGGUGUGGGAUGAGCUCGCGGCCUAUCAGCUUGUUGGUGGGGUAAUGGCCUACCAAGGCGUCGACGGGUAGCCGGCCUGAGAGGGUGUACGGCCACAUUGGGACUGAGAUACGGCCCAGACUCCUACGGGAGGCAGCAGUGGGGAAUAUUGCACAAUGGGCGCAAGCCUGAUGCAGCGACGCCGCGUGGGGGAUGACGGCCUUCGGGUUGUAAACUCCUUUCGCUAGGGACGAAGCGCAAGUGACGGUACCUGGAGAAGAAGCACCGGCUAACUACGUG
rnacentral:rRNA from 1 species